rnacentral:misc_RNA from 1 species
GAAAUGCGAUAAGUAGUGUGAAUUGCAGAAUUCAGUGAAUCAUCGAAUCUUUGAACGCACAUUGCGCCCCUCGGUAUUCCGAAGGGCAUGCCUGUUCGAGCGUCAUCUACACCCUCAAGCUCUGCUUGGUGUUGGGCGCCUGUCCCGCCUCCCGCGCGCGGACUCGCCCCAAAUGCAUUGGCGGUGGACCUUGCCUCCCUCCCGCGCAGCACAUUGCGCUUCUCGAGGCGUCGCGGCCCGCGUCCAGCAAGCGACCGUUUACCCGUCUUUGACCUCGGAUCAGGCAGGGAUACCCGCUGAACUUAAGC